CGAAUUGUUGUUUUGGCCCAAACGAGGCAGCAAUGGCUUGCACCGAUGGUUUGCAAAGUGAAUCAAGGCUUGUGAGAGCAGCAGAGACAGCAUUAGGCACAGAGACCUGGCAAGGCAGCCUCCACAGCAGGGCUGGUAAAUGAAACAGGUGCCUGGACAGAAGGCAAUCUGAGAUUGCAGAGAGAAAUUGCCUUCAGGUGGCCAAAUCCCUCCCGAGAAAGCACAAAAGGUGUUGAUAGGCCUCUCAGCAUCAUCCCAUAAAGGAUCUGCACAAAGAAAAGGGGGAGAAUAUUGAAGGAAUUCUUUGCCAGGCAGCUGUGGCUGGCACCAACUGAGCCUUGCACUGUGCUAGGAGAAGCCAGAAGUCUACACGGAUAUGCAAUGUGCAUCAAUAUAAAACCUCAUGGCCCUGAAGACCAACAUUUCAAUGGCACACUUCAAUCAGCACCCAAAACUCCUCCAUGCUAUUCAGCAACUGGCAUUGCAUUAUUUUGGUGGGAAGCUAAGGAAGCUGGCAAACCCGUGACAAG